rnacentral:rRNA from 1 species
AUUGAACGCUGGCGGCAUGCCUUACACAUGCAAGUCGAGCGAAGCUUCUUCCUUCGGGAAGAAUGACUUAGCGGCGAACGGGGGAGUAACACGUGGGCAACCUGCCCUUAGCUCUGGGAUAAGCGAUGGAAACGUCGUCUAAUACCGGAUACGACACGGGACGGCAUCAUCUCCGUGUGGAAAGAAUUUCGGCCAAGGAUGGACUCGCGGCCUAUCAGCUAGUUGGUGAGGUAAAGGCUCACCAAGGCGACGACGGGUAGCCGGCCUGAGAGGGUGACCGGCCACACUGGGACUGAGACACGGCCCAGACUCCUACGGGAGGCAACAGUGGGGAAUAUUGCACAAUGGGCGCAAGCCUGAUGCAGCAACGCCGCGUGAGGGAUGACGGCCUUCGGGUUGUAAACCUCUUUUAGCAGGGAAGAAGCGAAAGUGACGGUACCUGCAGAAAAAGCACCGGCUAACUACGUGCCAGCAGCCGCGGUAACAC